AACUAUUGAAUAUGCUCUAUGUUCCUACUUUGAUACAAAACCUCUUAUCAGUUAGAUAAUUUAUAGGAAACAACAAUCAGAUCCUAAUAUUUAGAAAAGAAUGUUGUAUUGCAUCAAAAGAUUCACACCUUCAAAAAAUAUACACCCUUGGUUAUUGAGAUCCAAAAUCUAGGCUCUAUAAACUAAACAUAAAAGGUACAGUCAUUCUACCUCAAAGUUUACUAAAGGGAGCCAACAAUAUUAAUGGCAUAGACUCCAUAUCAAAAUUGACGGAUGCCAAAAAUAUAGAAAGCAGUAAAUAAAAGCCUUCAUCAAAAAGUCAACUGACAACAGAUGUAUAUAUAAAAUAUGAUUGCGGAUCCUUUUAGAAUAUUCAAACAAAAUCUUCAAAAAGAAUAUUCAUAAAAAAAUUUAAGCAAGAUUUCUACUUGUCACAUUGUCAU
rnacentral:lncRNA from 1 species